rnacentral:tRNA from 8 species
CAGCUGGAUAGAGUACUCGGCUACGAACCGAGCGGUCGGAGGUUCGAAUCCUCCCGGAUGCACCA